UACGUAGGGUGCAAGCGUUGUCCGGAAUUAUUGGGCGUAAAGAGCUCGUAGGCGGCCUGUUACGUCUGCUGUGAAAUCCCGGGGCUUAACCCCGGGCGUGCAGUGGAUACGGGCAGGCUGGAGGCAGGCAGGGGAGAACGCAAUUCCCGGUGUAGCGGUGAAAUGCGCAGAUAUCGGGAGGAACACCGGUGGCGAAGGCGGUUCUCUGGGCCUGUACUGACGCUGAGGAGCGAAAGCGUGGGGAGCGAACAGG
rnacentral:rRNA from 1 species